UAAGGCAGACUACGCUGCAUGCAGCAUGUGGGAGAGGUAGAUAAACAAAAGCAAGACAAGCGAUGAAAUGCCAUAGUGAAGUGGAUAGCUAAACACUGGAUGCUGGUUAGUAUUGGGGAAGACGCCGAUCUUAGGAACGUCCUUAAAAUGACAACGUAGUCGCUUGGCCCCACGGGGCUGCUCUUUUCUCCGGUGAUCAGAAAGGGAGACAAGCGCUCCGCGAGUAAACGGAAGGCGCUUUAUGGAGAGUAACCAUGGCAACAGCUUCUGUGCGCACACACAGCCUCUUAACGUACAACCAGUAAGUAGCCAAGUGCAAGGACAUUAAGCAGAGAGGACAAGUGGACCUGCUGUAAUCUCUGUGUCCAGGAGAUAGACAGUGCUUUGCUUCUCUCAUGGACAGCAUUUCAAGCCCCUUUUCACAUACUCUACCACACUAACUUCCUCCUUCUAAAAACUAUUUCAUUA